rnacentral:tRNA from 1 species
GCCCUGGUAGUGUAGUGGCCUAGCAUGGUUCAAAUGGUAUCAUGGGCCAAUCAUCCGGCCCUGUCGAGGCCGGGACCCGGGUUCGACUCCCGGCCAGGGCG